GCCGAGGUGGCGGAAUUGGUAGACGCGCUAGUUUCAGGUAUUAGUGGGGGAGACCCCGUGGAGGUUCAAGUCCUCUCCUCGGCACCA
rnacentral:tRNA from 5 species